AAAGUUUGUUGUAAUAAUAUAGAGCAUUAUUUGUUUUGGUCAAAUAGGUGGUUUGUUAGCCAACUUUAACGGU
rnacentral:tRNA from 1 species